UGCAGAUGACAGCUGUCUGUAUUUGGUCGAUCCUUCAAGAAACUCUUUGGAGCAGGAAGAGUCUGACUGUGCAGCCAAAAGAUUCCGUAAAUACUUCAAAAUGAGAAGGACAUGCUACAACAAAACAGACUGGGUGAAUGUGAGACUUCGAGGAGGAGUACUGACACAUCCAUUUCAACGGGAUGGUUCUAGCUGCUGAGUAAUGGUCAUCAUGAUGGCCAAAGCAGUAAUGAAAGCAUUCCCAAAUAAACCAGAAAUGACAUUUUUGAUGACAAAAAAAGAGAUGGCCCAGGCACAAAGGACAUUUGCACAGACAAUACUUGAGGCCUCAGUCUGAGUUCCCCCAGCUUUGAAUUGACUGCAAUCCCCAAAGCCCCUCUGGAUACAUUGGGGAACCUCUUCCUUACCGCCACUGUAACAAACAAAAGUCACAGUUCUAGUACUUUUAUCAGAGUUAAAAUAAAAACAUGAUUUAAAUUAGCUAGCUUCAUUUAGCAAACAGAUAUUUCCGUUUAUAGAGAUACAGAUAUAUUUUCCACAUAAUUUUACCUUUUUUUUUUUUUUUUUCCCCCUCGAUGGAAAGUCUAUCCAGUUCACAUUACAGUAAUACUAACACACCUUUUGGUCAUCUAUCCUUACUCUCCAGCAUUCAAUCUGUUGACCUUCUUUGUCUGAGUCCAAUCACUUCAAUGCUUCAUCACCUAUCUGUGCAAUUUUUAUUGUUGCAAAGUGAGUUACUUGUGCAGUAUGCAAUUUUAGAUACACAGUCU